UACGGAGGGUGCUAGCGUUGUUCGGAAUUACUGGGCGUAAAGCGUGCGCAGGCGGUUGGUUAAGUCUUAUGUGAAAGCCCCGGGCUCAACCUGGGAAUGGCAUUGGAAACUGUCCAGCUGGAGUGUGGCAGAGGGGGGUGGAAUUCCGCGUGUAGCAGUGAAAUGCGUAGAGAUGCGGAGGAACACCGAUGGCGAAGGCAGCCCCCUGGGCCAACACUGACGCUCAGGCACGAAAGCGUGGGGAGCAAACAGG
rnacentral:rRNA from 1 species